AGGUUUCCGUAGGUGACCUGCGGAAGGAUCAUUAUCGAAACGAAUGGAAUGGGGGAGCAAGACGGCAAAGCAAAAGACUGUCGCUGGCUAGAUUCAUUUCUGGCAUGUGCACGUCCUUGCUUUUUUCGUCGACCUUUCUCUUUCUUUCUUUCACACCUGUGCACCCGUUGUAGGUCCUCGAAAGAGGAUCUAUGUUCUCUAUCACACCCGAUCGUCGUAUGUCCAUAGAAUGUAAUGAAUAAAAUACAACUUUCAGCAACGGAUCUCUUGGCUCUCGCAUCGAUGAAGAACGCAGCGAAUUGCGAUAAGUAAUGUGAAUUGCAGAUUUUCAGUGAAUCAUCGAAUCUUUGAACGCACCUUGCGCUCCUUGGUAUUCCGAGGAGCAUGCCUGUUUGAGUGUCAUUGAAUUCUCAACCAUGUCUCGAUCGACUUCGAGGCAUGGCUUGGAGUUUGGGAGUUGCUGGCGUCAAGUCAGCUCUUCUGAAAUACAUUAGCGAUGGACGAGCAUGUCCUGAUGUGCACGGCCUACCGACGUGAUAAUGAUCGUCGUGGCUGGAGCGUUCGGACGUCGCAUCUUCAUGGUCUGUUUCGCUUCCAAUCGAGAGUACCCUUUGAACGCUUGACCUCAAAUCAGGUAGGACUACCCGCUGA
rnacentral:rRNA from 1 species